rnacentral:snRNA from 1 species
CAACUCUGGUUUCUCUUCAAUCAAGCACAAGUUUUUCGCCUUUUACUAAAGACUUCCGUGGAGAGCAACGCUCGAGUUAAACGUAUUUUUGGACGGGCUUUGCUCCCGGCAGCGCC